GGUACGGGAUAACUGAGGGAAACUUCAGCUAAUACCGUAUGUGCCCUACGGGGGAAAGAUUUAUCGCCAUUGGAGCGGCCCGCGUUGGAUUAGGUAGUUGGUGAGGUAAAGGCUCACCAAGCCUACGAUCCAUAGCUGGUCUGAGAGGAUGAUCAGCCACACUGGGACUGAGACACGGCCCAGACUCCUACGGGAGGCAGCAGUAGGGAAUCUUGCGCAAUGGGCGAAAGCCUGACGCAGCCAUGCCGCGUGAAUGAUGAAGGUCUUAGGAUUGUAAAAUUCUUUCACCGGGGAAGAUAAUGACGGUACCCGGAGAAGAAGCCCCGGCUAACUUCGUGCCAGCAGCCGCGGUAAUACGAAGGGGGCUAGCGUUGCUCGGAAUUACUGGGCGUAAAGGGCGCGUAGGCGGACAGUUUAGUCAGAGGUGAAAGCCCAGGGCUCAACCUUGGAAUUGCCUUUGAUACUGGCUGUCUUGAGUUCGGGAGAGGUG
rnacentral:rRNA from 1 species